rnacentral:rRNA from 1 species
GCCACUUGUCCUAUUUGCAGGCAGGAGGAUGAGGAUGAGUACCAUGCGGUCAUUAACUGCACUAAGGCCCGAGCUCUGCGUUCUGAAAUUCGAAAAGUGUGGAAGCUUCCAAGUGAGAAAGCCUUUGCUUACACUGGCCCGAAUUGGAUGCAAUGCCUCCUUGAUACAUGUGAUAUGAGGACUCGCGAUAGGAUCCUUCUGAUGUUCUGGAGAGUGUCGUUCCUUCGUGAAGAUUGCGUACAUGGCGAUGGGAAAGCUUUGGUGUCUGUGUCAGUGGAUUUCUGGCAGCGUUACGAGAUGGAAAUCGUGCUUGCCUCGAGACCUAAACCGGAUGCUGUGGGCAAAGUCAGCAUGUUCCCUGCAUGUGUUGGAAAUAUGCCCUAG